GGUACGAUCAGCUAAAAAAGCUAUUGGGCUCAUACCCCGACAAUGAGGACGCCCCUCUCGUACC
rnacentral:tRNA from 1 species